rnacentral:misc_RNA from 1 species
GUGGACUACUGGGGUUUCUAAUCCUGUUCGCUCCCCACGCUUUCGCGUCUCAGCGUCAGUACCGUACUAGAGAGCCGCCUUAGCCACGGGUGUUCUUCCUGAUAUCUGCGCAUUUCACCGCUACACCAGGAAUUCCACUCUCCUCUUCCGGACUCUAGCCAUGCGGUUUCCAUCGGCGUCUCGAGGUUGAGCCUCGAGUUUUCACAACGGACCUGCAUGGCCGCCUACACGCUCUUUACGCCCAAUAAAUCCGGACAACGCUUGCCCCCUACGUAUUACCGCGGCUGCUGGCACC